GGUGGCUCAGUGGUAGGGUACUUGCUUUGCAUGCACGAGGCCCUGGGUUCAAAUCCUCAGCACCA
rnacentral:tRNA from 1 species